UCCCUCUUAGGAUCACACCUGGUGAGUUUCCAGUAUUCUACCAGUCUUGGCUAUGGGAGGGAGAGUCAAGUAGAGGCCUAUCCAUUCCAUUCCUAGCUUGGUCAGUGGCUAGCAAAUGGAAGGCAACCUGCUAUAAGG